rnacentral:lncRNA from 1 species
UUGGGGCCCAGCUCUGCUUGAAGAUCCUGUUGCAGGCGGCUUGAGGUAAGCCGACUUGGCCAUUUAGAGGUCUCUCUAGUCCUCACGUUGCAGCCACAGGUCAGACAGUGGGGACUGAGCAGAAGGACGAUGCGUUCUGAAGAAAGGAAUUAAAAUAUGCAACAGGCGGGUCAAGUCAGGAACUACUAGAAGUGUUUGUUUCCUACAGAGGAGGAGACUUGUCUAAGAUCGAAACUUGGUGAGUUUCUUCCAAAUCCAAGAUGGGCAAAGGAUAGGCCUGCUCAUUAAACCUGGGUGUGAACGCCCUCUGGCGGCUCGUGGGGAGGAUGUUGACGACAGCCACAGAGAGGAGUGACACGAAAAAUGAACAAAACACAGACUUCAGUGUUGUGAAAGUGGAAUUUUCUUACCCACUUGGUGGAUAUGGUCAUGAUUGGAAGAAGAGCAUCUAGACAUUGAAGAGAUUACAUUCUUUUACAGUUUUUUCCAUAAGGAACAUCUGAAGAAGACUGCAAAUCCCCUUGAGAAGUAUUGUAUGCAGAAAGGGAUCAAAUUAAUUUACCUGCAUAUGCCUGAGCCUGCUGCCUUACAAUUUGACGACUUAAGGUGAGUGACACUUUUGGCACAUCUUAAUUCUGAAUAGUGUCUAAACUUAUUACCAAAAUACAAAUAAGAUCAUUUUUUAUUGCUUAUGGAGAAUUUAAAAUAUUGUAUCUGUAAAAGCCAUUUCUUUAUCAGUAUCUUCAUACUUAAGACUAAUUGGUACAAAUACUCAUUUAAAAUAGCGUAGGAAUUUUGGAAAAUUAUGCUAUUAGGUGGAAAGGAGAGAAACAUUGGUAAUGAAGUUUUCAAAAAUUCACAACCAGUACAGAUUUAUUCUAGAUGAUUAGAAAACAACCCAUCCUAAAGCUAAAAUUCCCUUAGAGUUUUGUUUUUUGAAAAGCCUGGAUAUUAAAUUUAUGUUUAUGGUUAAAUGUAAUUUAUGAUUUUUAUCGGAUGAUACAAUGACAUGUACACAUUAAGCUUAGAUUCCAGAAAGCAACACAUUUGGUUUCGUUAGAAAAGCAGAAUAAUUAACUGUCUCCUAUGAGUUAAAGUUGUCUUUUUCAAGUUUUAAGAGAUGUGAGGACCUGUCAAGUUACCCAUCGCAAAUAUCUUCAAAAACCAUCUGCCUUCUCACAUACAGCAUACCUUGAAUAUCUCACAUCAUGUCAUUUUACAAUCUUACUGACUGGACUUUUAUUUGGUAUCAUUGAUCAGAAGAUUUUGUUCAUUAUGACAAAUUUUAGCCAUUCUUUUCGUAUGUAGCCUAUCACUUAAUUUUGAGCAAUCAAAUACUACAUUUUUUUAGUCUAUGAUCAUAACAGAGUGUUUUCAAUGAUUAAGAAAGAUGUAGAAGAAAGUAACACCCAGAUCUAAGGAUACUUAACAUUCUAAAAUACAUUAAAACAUUGAAUAUUGAGCCAUUUCUUGCUGAUAU